UGGGGAAUUUUCCGCAAUGGGCGCAAGCCUGACGGAGCAAUACCGCGUGAGGGAGGAAGGCUUUUGGGUUGUAAACCUCUUUUAUUAAGGAAGAAGAAAGUGACGGUACUUAAAGAAUCAGCAUCGGCUAACUCCGUGCCAGCAGCCGCGGUAAGACGGAGGAUGCAAGCGUUAUCCGGAAUUAUUGGGCGUAAAGCGUCCGUAGGCGGUUUAUCAUGUCCGCUGUCAAAGACUGCAGCUCAACUGUGGACCGGCAGUGGAAACUGAUGAACUAGAGUGCGGUAGGGGGAGAGGGAAUUCCCAGUGUAGCGGUGAAAUGCGUAGAUAUUGGGAAGAACACCAGUGGCGAAGGCGCUCUACUGGGCCGCAACUGACGCUGAGGGACGAAAGCUAGGGGAGCGAAAGGGAUUAGAUACCCCCGUAGUCC
rnacentral:rRNA from 1 species